GUGCCAGCAGCCGCGGUAAUACGAAGGGUGCAAGCGUUACUCGGAAUUACUGGGCGUAAAGCGUGCGCAGGCGGUUAUUUAAGUCUGAUGCGAAAGCCCCGGGCUCAACCUGGGAAUGGCAUUGGAGACUGGAUGGCUAGAGUACGGGAGAGGGUGGUGGAAUUCCCGGUGUAGCGGUGAAAUGCGUAGAGAUCGGGAGGAACACCGGUGGCGAAGGCGGCUACCUGGACCAGCACUGACGCUGAGGCGCGAAAGCGUGGGGAGCAAACAGGAUUAGAUACCCUGGUAGUCCACGCCGUAA
rnacentral:rRNA from 1 species